rnacentral:rRNA from 1 species
GGACGAACGCUGGCGGCGUGCCUAAUACAUGCAAGUCGAACGAACUCUGGUAUUGAUUGGUGCUUGCAUCAUGAUUUACAUUUGAGUGAGUGGCGAACUGGUGAGUAACACGUGGGAAACCUGCCCAGAAGCGGGGGAUAACACCUGGAAACAGAUGCUAAUACCGCAUAACAACUUGGACCGCAUGGUCCGAGUUUGAAAGAUGGCUUCGGCUAUCACUUUUGGAUGGUCCCGCGGCGUAUUAGCUAGAUGGUGGGGUAACGGCUCACCAUGGCAAUGAUACGUAGCCGACCUGAGAGGGUAAUCGGCCACAUUGGGACUGAGACACGGCCCAAACUCCUACGGGAGGCAGCAGUAGGGAAUCUUCCACAAUGGACGAAAGUCUGAUGGAGCAACGCCGCGUGAGUGAAGAAGGGUUUCGGCUCGUAAAACUCUGUUGUUAAAGAAGAACAUAUCUGAGAGUAACUGUUCAGGUAUUGACGGUAUUUAACCAGAAAGCCACGGCUAACUACGUGCCAGCAGCCGCGGUAAUACGUAGGUGGCAAGCGUUGUCCGGAUUUAUUGGGCGUAAAGCGAGCGCAGCGGUUUUUUAAGUCUGAUGUGAAAGCCUUCGGCUCAACCGAAGAAGUGCAUCGGAAACUGGGAAACUUGAGUGCAGAAGAGGACAGUGGAACUCCAUGUGUAGCGUGAAAUGCGUAGAUAUAUGGAAGAACACCAGUGGCGAAGGGCGGCUGUCUGGUCUGUAACUGACGCUGAGGCUCGAAAGUAUGGGUAGCAAACAGGAUUAGAUACCCUGGUAGUCCAUACCGUAAACGAUGAAUGCUAAGUGUUGGAGGGUUUCCGCCCUUCAGUGCUGCAGCUAACGCAUUAAGCAUCCCGCCUGGGGAGUACGGCCGCAAGGCUGAAACUCAAAGGAAUUGACGGGGGCCCGCACAAGCGGUGGAGCAUGUGGUUUAAUUCGAAGCUACGCGAAGAACCUUACCAGGUCUUGACAUACUAUGCAAAUCUAAGAGAUUAGACGUUCCUUUCGGGGACAUGGAUACAGGUGGUGCAUGGUUGUCGUCAGCUCGUGUCGUGAGAUGUUGGGUUAAGUCCCGCAACGAGCGCAACCCUUAUUAUCAGUUGCCAGCAUUAAGUUGGGCACUCUGGUGAGACUGCCGGUGACAAACCGGAGGAAGGUGGGGAUGACGUCAAAUCAUCAUGCCCCUUAUGACCUGGGCUACACACGUGCUACAAUGGAUGGUACAACGAGUUGCGAGCUCGCGAGAGCAAGCUAAUCUCUUAAAGCCAUUCUCAGUUCGGAUUGUAGGCUGCAACUCGCCUACAUGAAGUCGGAAUCGCUAGUAAUCGCGGAUCAGCAUGCCGCGGUGAAUACGUUCCCGGGCCUUG